rnacentral:lncRNA from 1 species
AGCACAGUCCUUGGCUGCAAACUGCUCUCCAACCCCAUCUUCAGUUACAUCUCUGUUGUCUCCUCCAUCUUCUAUUCAACCAAAUGAAAAACGGAAACCCAGAUCCUCCUUCUUAGCUGGAAACUGUUUCACACCAGAAUCGAAGAGAAAAGGAGCAGAGGAGACAGUUAGAGAGCUUCAGCGGACUGUGAAGGCAUUAGAAGCAGAAAUGGAGAGAAUGAAAAAGGAUCAUGUGUUUCAGCUAAAGCAGAAGGAUGAUUUUAUACGCGACCUUUCAAGGAAAAGUGGAAAACCAUCAGAGGGAGUUGUAGUAGGCCAAGGGGUGAAGAGGGUUGUUACAAGAGCGAGCUUGCGCCCAAAGGAACCAACUGGUGGUGAGUUGAAGAGCCCAAG